UAUAUUCUCUAUUGACUAUACAAAAGGUUUUGUAGUCAAAUCAAAACUCGACCGUCAUUUUGACUUCAAAUCUUAUCCAAUCCUUCUCAACGUUACUAUUCUUCUUCUGAAAUGCUUUGGUUUGUAAACAUCGUACGUGACGAAAUGUGCAAAACAUUCUCAAUUUUUUUCCAUAGCCUCCACGUAUGAUAUCAUCACAUGAUGACAAAUCUCAUGAUUUUC
rnacentral:lncRNA from 1 species